ACUCAAAUGAAUAGACGGGGGCCCGCACAAGCGGCGGAGCAUGUGGCUUAAUUCGACGCAACGCGAAGAACCUUACCAAGGCUUGACAUGCAGGGAAAUCCCCCAGAGAUGGGGGGUCCGCAAGGGCCCUGCACAGGUGGUGCAUGGUUGUCGUCAGCUCGUGUCGUGAGAUGUUGGGUUAAGUCCCGCAACGAGCGCAACCCUCGUCCAAUGUUGCCAGCGGGUAAUGCCGGGGACUCAUUGGAGACUGCCGGGGUCAACUCGGAGGAAGGUGGGGAUGACGUCAAAUCAUCAUGCCCCUUAUGUCUUGGGCUGCACACAUGCUACAAUGGCCGGUACAAAGGGCUGCAAUACCGCAAGGUGGAGCUAAUCCCAAAAAGCCGGUCUCAGUUCGGAUUGGGGUCUGCAACUCGACCCCAUGAAGUCGGAGUCGCUAGUAAUCGCAGAUCAGCAACGCUGCGGUGAAUACGUUCCCGGGCCUUGCACACACCGCCCGU
rnacentral:rRNA from 1 species